CAUCCCUUUUAGAAGGCGAAAUAGAUGACACUUGUUGAUCAAAGGCUUUCCUAUACAAGGAGAGAAGGUAUUGUUCCAAAUAUACAACUUCCAAUUCUAAAACAGCAAUUUCCUUGAUUAGCUCCGUAGUUGCCUUAGAUACGGAGACUGGUGUUUCAUUUGUAUGCUCAUGGGAGGAAAUUUGAUAACCCAGUGCUGUUUCUACUGCACGGCGAAUAUCAAAUUGAUCUUGUAAUCUUUUCUCAAGCUGCAAGAUCUGCACAAAAGAUUUUCGGAAAAAAAAAAAGAAACAAAAAGAAAUUAAUAUGAGCAACAGAACUUCAAAAUUUGUGAGCUGCAGCCUAAUCUUGGGUCACAAUAGACCUGACCAGGCCACUCCCAAACCAAAUUCAAGCCCUCUGUAACCCAAGGAUGAGUACAAUGAACAAAAACAGAUUCAGUUCUACACCUCUUGCUUCAAAGUGCUUUGCACCUCGGUGUGGGGGGUGGAAGAUUGCUUCUUCUGGGUUUUGACAGAGUUCUUCAGGUGCCUCAUAUCCUGGUACCACAUAAUGGAAAAAUAUUCUUUAGCAUUGAUAUAGGAUGAGCCUUUUGUCAUUGAUAUGAAUGAUUAGUCUAGUGAAAGAUGCUAAACAAAGGCUUAUAUCCUAGUUUUCCAUGCAUAAAUACAAUCAUUUUAUCCGGCUCCA